rnacentral:lncRNA from 10 species
AAAAAUCAAUCGGGAGAAGGGAAGCCACCUGCUGCAGCCUGGAGGCUGGAGCCUGCGGCACUGCGACUCGCCUCGCCGCGCUACAGUUGGUGGUGGCGACAGAGACUGCAGUGUCGCGGAAGCGGUAGGAGGGCCACCCACAGCGGGAGCUGCUCCUGUCCGGCUAGACGACGAGAAAGGGGAGCCAUCUGCGGCACGUUGGAAGCUGGGGCCUGUGACAUCGCACCUCGCCUGGCUGCGGUUGGUGGCGGAGAAGGAGACUGCUGCGCAGCUGGAGUGGUGGUACAGAGCUCUACGAAAGAUCCUUAGAGGAGUCUCUUGUCCAAUGGUGUAAAGCUCUGUGACAAACAUGGGAGACUCACAGACUCAUGAGGAUGUUAUACCAACAGAAACACUGCCAGCUUGGAAAGAAAAGACAGACGGAAUACAAAAUGAAAAAGGGCUGUUAGACAGCCCCCUCCACCAAAAUUCUACAGGCAAGAAAUGUGAUGAUAAAGCUACUCAGCUGUAAACAUGUGAUACACUUCAAGAAAAAGGAAGGAAGACUCCAAGGCCGGAGCCACUAGCUCAGAGGGGGGGUCUGAGCCUUGAGUCACAGAUAAUUAUUCUCAAGCCUUGAAACAAAAUGGAAUGUGCCUGGCUUGAUUUUGAAAUUGAUUGGGACUGGCAACUCCUUUUUCUUCCUCUUCUCUUUUUGAAUGGAAAUAUCUAUCACUGUUAUCCUACGCCUGUCUCACCUUUGUAUUUUGGGAGUAGAUAACUUGUUUCUCGAAUUUCCCAGGUUCACUGUUAUCCCAUGCCGAUCUCACCUUUGUAUUUUGGGAGUAGAUAACUUGUUUCUUGAAUUUCCCAGGUUCACAGAUGAAGAAGAAUUGUGCCUGAGGAUGGAUAACUUCCAGAGCCUUGGAUGAUGCAAUUUGGCACUUUUGAGCUAAUCUAAAAGUUAGAUGAGAUUUUGGACUUUGAGUUGUUACUUUAAUGGGUUGAUAAGCCUGGGAAUCUUGGGGUGGAAUGUACUUUGCAUAUGGAAUAGAUGUGUAUCUUUGGGUGCCAGAAGGCAGUCUGUGGUAGGCAGAUUAAUGCCUCCCACAAAAAUGUCUACCUCUAAUCCUAGACCCAUGAAUAUGUUAUGCUAAUGGCAAAGGUUGCAAAUAGAAUUAAGGUGUUAAUUAGUUGACUCUAAGAUGGGGAGGUCAUCUUGGAUUCUGUAGUGUAAUCACAAACAUCCAACAUCUUCACAAGGGUUCUUAUAAGUGAAAGGUGAAGGCAGUAGAGAGAAAGUAAGAGAUGGAAGAAUGAGCAGGACUCAACCCGAUGUGGCUGGCUUGGAGAUGGAGGAAGGGGCCACUAGCCAAGGAGUGUGAGCAGCCUCUAAAGCUGGAAAUGACAAAGACAUGGAUUCCCUGCUAGAGUUCCAAAGGGAAUACAGCCCUGGAGACCUUGAGUUUUGCCCAGUGAGACCAGUUUGAGACCUCUGACCUCCACAACUCUAAGAUAAUAAAUGUGUAGUUA